UAGGGAAUCUUCGGCAAUGGGGGGAACCCUGACCGAGCAACGCCGCGUGAGUGAAGAAGGUUUUCGGAUCGUAAAGCUCUGUUGUUAAGGAAGAACGAGUGUGAGAAUGGAAAGUUCAUGCUGUGACGGUACUUAACCAGAAAGGGACGGCUAACUACGUGCCAGCAGCCGCGGUAAUACGUAAGGUCCGAGCGUUGUCCGGAAUCAUUGGGCGUAAAGGGUACGUAGGCGGGUAAGCAAGUUAGAAGUGAAAUCCUAUAGCUCAACUAUAGUAAGCUUUUAAAACUGCUCAUCUUGAGGUAUGGAAGGGAAAGUGGAAUUCCUAGUGUAGCGGUGAAAUGCGCAGAUAUUAGGAGGAAUACCGGUGGCGAAGGCGACUUUCUGGCCAUAACCUGACGCUGAGGUACGAAAGCGUGGGUAGCAAACAGG
rnacentral:rRNA from 1 species